rnacentral:rRNA from 1 species
UACGGAGGGAGCUAGCGUUGUUCGGAAUUACUGGGCGUAAAGCGCACGUAGGCGGCUUUGUAAGUUAGAGGUGAAAGCCCAGGGCUUAACCCUGGAAUUGCCUUUAAGACUGCAUCGCUAGAAUCGUGGAGAGGUGAGUGGAAUUCCGAGUGUAGAGGUGAAAUUCGUAGAUAUUCGGAAGAACACCAGUGGCGAAGGCGACUCACUGGACACGUAUUGACGCUGAGGUGCGAAAGCGUGGGGAGCAAACAGGG